UACGGAGGGUGCGAGCGUUGUCCGGAAUCACUGGGCGUAAAGGGCGCGUAGGCGGCCCCGUAAGUCCGCUGUGAAAGUCAAAGGCUCAACCUUUGAAAGCCGGUGGAUACUGUGGGGCUAGAGUCCGGAAGAGGCGAGUGGAAUUCCUGGUGUAGCGGUGAAAUGCGCAGAUAUCAGGAGGAACACCGGUGGCGAAGGCGGGUCUCUGGGCCGUAACUGACGCUGAGGAGCGAAAGCGUGGGGAGCGAACAGG
rnacentral:rRNA from 1 species